AUGGGAAGUGGAGCAGCCGGGACUAGAACCAGCGUCCAUAUGGGAUGCCAGCACUGCAGGUGCAGGCCUAACCCUGAAGCGUUAGUGUUUGAAAGUAGCUCAGGUUUAGGUUCACAGCCAGACGGGAGAGGGCGCAGACGUCCGUCCCGCCCCAUGCUCACCCUGGGCGCCCAGGAGCCCUGUUCACAUCACGGUCCCCGUGGCGCUGGGCGUCCCGUGGCGCCAGCCACCGGGUCACAGCUGCUUCCCGCUCCACCUCCUGUUGCUCCCACGCUCUCUGCUAAGCCGUGGCCGCCGCCGGAGCUGGGCCGUCUCCGGGUGUUGCCCACUUGGAAUCCACUGUGGGCAGCCGUGGCACGUUGGCCGCUGCCCUCCGUGUCUGUUCACGGGCGAGAGCUGGUCCUCGGGGGUGCCAAGUGGGUCUCCGUUCGCCCGCGGCGACAGUUUGGAACAAAGCCGUGUAGCUCUCUGCGUGUGCCCCCGGUUUGCAGCUCCUGUUGGGACGUGCCGAGGAGCAGCCCUGCUGGCCGGGCGGCCUGCGUGUGUGUGUUUAGUUUUGUCAGAAACUGCCCAGCUGCCUUCCGCUCUGUGUGCACCAUCUUGCCCUCCUGCCAGCAGCGGGAGUCCCUGGGGCCCCUGGCGCCGGCCGUGCCCUGCAGUGACCCCCGGUGGGCCUCGGGGGCAGCAGCUUCCCUUCCGGCCUUGGGUUACUGCCUGGGGAGGCUCGGUGUCACGGGUGCCCACCUGGCCUGGCGGGAGCCGCCUCUGACCUGGGGCGAUCUGGACAUCGCUCGUGCCGGGUCGCUUCCUGCACUUGACCUGGUUUCGUUUAUGCCUGAGCCGGGGAGGAUGGGCUCCGUCGCCCUCAGGGUGCAGAGGAAGUGCCCUGGGCGUGGCGUGUGGCUGGGCCUCCGCAGCUCCUGUGCGGGGUGUGUGCGCCUGCUUCGCCCAGCGUCCCCUCUGAGGAGCGCGGGCGCUCUGUCUGCCAAGGUGCUCUGGGUGAGGCCGUGGCCGCCGUGGCCCAGCACUCACGGGUCCCUUCCCGCCGACACCCCCGCGCUCAGCCGUCCGGGCCUGGCACCAUGUCCUCACGUUUGCCCCCGUGCGGGGCCCGGCCAGGCCCCAUCUGAACCUCGGUUUCUCCUCUGUGAGACGGCACCUGCCCAGGAGCUCGCGGGGACUGAAUGGAGGGCGGUCCCGGCGGGGCAGACCCAGAGCCGCCACCUGGACACCUUUGGGUGUCCUCCUCCCCCGGCCUCCUCCCAUCCAGACCGCCCACGUGUCCCCGUGACGGCCGCCGAGCAGAGCAGGCUGUGCAGGGGAGGUGCCCUCCCGGCUGCGCCCGGCGCUGGCCCUGUGCCUCGGCCCUCCUGCGCCUCCUGCCCCAGGGUGGAUCGGGAGCUGGUGGGGCUCCAGGAGCCGCCCGGCAGGCACCGUGCGCGCCCAGGCCGGCCAGCCCCUCUGCACAGCCUCCCUCAGCUGCAGGCCCUGCUGAUGCCACGGUCGCCAGGCAGCUGCCGUGUCCUCGCACCCCUUCCCGCCUGGGGUCCUCCACAGACUGCGCCCAGGCCGUCCUCGGCGAGCCUCCCGGUCUCAGCCCUCUGGCCCCGGCCCUUUUCCGCUGGACCAGGGGCUCUUGCAGGUCUGCUCGGUCUGUUCUGUCUCCUUGCCUGGGGGCCCCAGGACCAGCACGUCCUAGCCAGCCUGUGGCUGAGGGGGCGUCUGGCCCGCCUGGGCUCUCCAGUGGCCGUGGCGCUCGCUGGUUCUGCAGCCACACCUGCUGGGGUAGCGGAGCCCUCCAGCUGCCGCCCGAGGGGGCGGGGGCGGGGUCAGAGCUGGGGAAAUGCGGGCGCCCGUGGGCGGCCACGUGGCAGGUGCCCAGGGCCUGGGAAGUGGGUGCUGCAGUCAGUGUGGGGGUGGCGGUCAGCCAGAGGGGAGUCGGGAGGUUUCCCUUGCCCGGGGAGGGUCAGGGCUGUGCCUGGCCGGGCUUCCGUGCCCCUGCCUGGGUGA
rnacentral:lncRNA from 1 species